rnacentral:tRNA from 1 species
GUUGUUGUGGCCGAGUGGUAAAGGCGAUGGACUAGAAUUCCAUUGGGGUCUCCCCGCGCUGGUUCGAAUCCUGCUGACAAUG